CUAGGAUGCCACAAGCCUCACAAGACUCACUAACCUCUGCAUGUAUUUGUGUAUCUUAGGUGUUCUUGGUGCUGAGGUGGGAGAGAGGGGCAAGUAUUUCUCUCUGGGACAGAGACAGCUGCUGUGUCUGGCCAGGGCUCUGCUGACUGAAGCUAAUAUUCUGUGUAUUGACGAAGCCACAGCCAGUGUUGACCAAAAGACUGACAAGCUGCUACAAUAGACAAUCAGAGCAAAAUUUCAAGACCGUCCUCGUGUUUGCCCAUAGGAUCAACACCGUCAUGGACUCAGACAGGGUGCUGGUGAUGCAUUCUGGGAAGGUAGUGGAGUUUGACACCCCUGCUGAUCUGUGCCAAAGAGACGACUCAGUUUUCUGCAAGCUGGUUGGUGGGAGGGGAGAAUGAGAGGAGACGCCAUCAGAGGACUAAUGACAAUGGGAAAUGUCAAUGGGGAUCUCUCUCUCUCUCUCUCUCUGUUUCCCCACAGGAGGCCAGUGGUGGUCGGACUGGGUGGACCAACCAAUCACCUGUCCAAUGGAGGUGGUAGAAGUUGGCCCUAUAAUAAUUACUGGCCCAGGGUUUGAUUUUUUUCAUUCCAUGAUCGUUAAGGUU